UACGUAGGGGGCAAGCGUUGUCCGGAUUUAUUGGGCGUAAAGAGCGUGUAGGCGGCCAGGUAGGUCAGCUGUGAAAACUCGAGGCUCAACCUCGAGACGUCGAUUGAAACCACCUGGCUAGAGUCCGGAAGAGGAGAGUGGAAUUCCUGGUGUAGCGGUGAAAUGCGCAGAUAUCAGGAAGAACACCCGUGGCGAAGGCGGCUCUCUGGGACGGUACUGACGCUGAGACGCGAAAGCGUGGGGGAGCGAACAGG
rnacentral:rRNA from 1 species